rnacentral:rRNA from 1 species
AGCGAACGCUGGCGGCAGGCCUAAAACAUGCAAGUCGAACGCCGUAGCAAUACGGAGUGGCAGACGGGUGAGUAACACGUGGGAACGUGCCUUUUGGUUCGGAACAACCCAGGGAAACUUGGGCUAAUACCGGAUAAGCCCUUCGGGGAAGGAUUAUCGCCAGAAGAUCGGCCCGCGUCUGAUUAGCUAGUUGGUGGGGUAACGGCCCACCAAGGCUACGAUCAGUAGCUGGUCUGAGAGGANGAUCAGCCACACUGGGACUGAGACACGGCCCAGACUCCUACGGGAGGCAGCAGUUAGGAAUCUUGGACAAUGGGCGCAAGCCUGAUCCAGCCAUGCCGCGUGAGUGAUGAAGGCCUUAGGGUUGUAAAGCUCUUUCAGCGGGGAAGAUAAUGACGGUACCCGCAGAAGAAGCCCCGGCUAACUUCGUGCCAGCCGCCGCUGU